rnacentral:lncRNA from 1 species
GGAUAGGGGAUUUUCGGAGGGGAAACUAGGAAAGGUUUUGAAAUGUAAAUAAAGAAAAUAAUGGGCAGUGGUGGUGCAUGCCUUUAAUCCCAGCACUUGGGAGGCAGAGGCAGGUGGAUUUCUGAGUUCAAGGCCAGCCUGGUCUACAGAGUGAGUUCCAGGACAGCCAGGGCUACACAGAGAAACCCUGUCUCAAAAAAAAACAAAAAAGAAGAAAAGAAAAGAGAAAAGAAAAAUGAAAGAAGAAAUUAGUCGCAGUGCAAACGUAGCCAUUAAGAGCUAGUUCCCUAACAGGUGUGACUGUUAAACUGGGAAGUACCUUACAUAGUGCAGCCCACUGCUUACAGUUUUUGUUAGCUUGUGCUAGCCUAUCCUGAGCAAACCCCUCCACAACAUAAGGCAUAUGAAUACUGUUUGUUUUGUGAUUUUUUUGUAGCCUACCUUCGUUCAACCUGAGAUGCAAAAACAAACCAUUCACCAAGACUAAUCAUUUUUAAAUCAUUGCUUAAGGACCUACCUGUGGAAAUACACACAUUGGUGCAUACUGAAAUGUGGGGGUAAUUCUCUGGUCUUUGUUCCUUUACCACAGUCCCUGCUGCGUUGAGGCUACCUCUAACCUAAGCCUUUUAUGGUCCACAUUUAUCAAUGUAUUUUUAAAAAAUACUAUACAUUGGGUACAGUAAAAGUCACCCAAACUCUGCGGGUUUUAACUGGCAUUACCUCGUUCAUCUUUAGAGCAUUAGCAAAUCGAGUUACUCGUUCAUUUAAACAUGUUAGACUAUUUGUCUGAGCAAGAAACCAUCCAGGAACUUCAUUUUCUAUAUUUCUUCCUUUUACAGACUGAGAUCAGCAUUUCUUAGACACAUCUUUAUUGCUUGUUCUGCCGCAUUUAAAACUAUAUAGACUUUAAACCCCUAUUCUUUUGUUCCCAAUAUCUGAAUUUCCAAAAACCGUACUAUCACAUAGUAAUCUGUAGAUCAUUUUCCUGGGUCUUCUAUGAAGACUUCAUCCAUAAAUGUCAGAGAACACUGAGUCAUGGUUAAUUUCAUUCCCUUUAAAUUAUUGAAUUACUAUGCCAGCACGUCACAUACCAGUCGGAUCCUGAGUUCAUUACUAAAGGCUGCAGUUCAUCAACAAAGAAGCAGGCAGCCCGUCAUCUUUCCUGAUACAUGGUGACUGUGUUCCCCUACAGUCCAGCGAGCUAUGUAGAAACCAGUAGAUACCUUAGCUUCAUCGUGUUAGUCAACUGAUUAUUAGGAAAUCCCAUAGAAAGCCUUCUCCCAGGAGACUCACUUCUGUUUAUACCUCAACAAACACUUGGAGAUGUCUAGCUUUUUUGAUUUUGCUUACUAGUUAGAAUUCAUUUUCUCUCAUUCUUGCUUUCAGCUCGCUGAUAUUUCUAAUGUAUAUGAGUAUUUUAAAAAUUGAUACUAGACACUGGCAGGAGGACUAGUAAAGUGGUUGUAACUAGACACACCUGCUAGUCACUGGGGACCUCGGUUUCUAGACUGCAUACACUGCCUUCCUACUCUGACCUCGUUCUCAAGUCUCCAUUUCUCCUGUUGGCCUGAAUGCCACCUUCACAGACCUGUGCCUGUGUGUGAGCUUGCUUAGCCUCACUCCCCAAGUUGCCUUUUUUUCUUUACUGAAUAUGCUGAGAUCAGAACUGUGCUGCCACUUUCUGUAUUUAGUAUUUAUUCACGGUUGUCAUUUACUUUGUCCCCUGCUGACUGAUCUAAGAGGCCCUGAUUGCCUCUACAUUAGUCUCCAUGCAGUCACAAUAGUUUCAGUGCACACCGAUGAAAAAUGAGAAAUAAAAAGAAAAUCGUGUCAGCACAUAUCACAGAGAAGGCGUAGUGUCUGACUCACCUUAGCUUCAGAACCCAGGCUGAGUGUGUGUGUGUGUGUGUGUGUAAAUAACACUAGAGACUGAAGGCGGAGCCUUGUGCAAGCUAGGCAAGCACUCUGCACCUAACCUACACUCAAGGCCUUGCCUGAGCCUGUCUUCUGGUUUGUAGUUUGAAAAGCUGCCUUGGGACAGUGCUAUAGUUGGAAUGGACUUCUGAGAGCUUUAUGCUUUCCGAAAGCCCAUCCAUGGGCACCAUUAGUUUCUGGUUCCUAUCACAGGAGGAAAACCUUUGGUCAGCUGCCCAGUUUUCAUAGUUUUAAGUGCCUCUACCAGAUGAUAUUUGUGGUGUGGCUGUGCCUCUUUAAAAGAACUGGGUAAGAGGUGGGUUGGUGGUAAUGGUGAUGGUGUGGGUGCUAGGGCCAAAAAGCCAGGACCUUGCAUUUGCUAAUGCUUGAUGCUAAGCUAAAUGUCCAAUCCCAAGUCAGUGGUGAUUUUGCUUGCUUGCUUGAUUUUAUUUUGUUUUGUUUUGUUUUUAAAUCAUUGGCCAAGAAUAGAGGCAUAAUACAUACUAAUAUCCACAUCCACACUGACUACCACACUAGGCGUCUUUGGAGGUACACUGGCUGAGAAGUUGGUCUCUGAAGUCUUUGGCCUCGGAUCUGUUAGAGAACAGAAAUGAGCUCACAGACUGAAUUGUGUGUGUCUACUGAGAGUUUAGCAUGUCUGCUUAACUUCUUGCCUUUCCAGGAUGAUUUCAUAGGUUUCUUUAACCUGUAGUCAUUGCACAAUAGUCUUGUAGAGUUAGUGUUCAUGUGCCAGUGCCAGGACAAGGAACAGACACAGGCAGGUUAAUUCACCCAUAAUUCCAGAGUUGCUGAUGGAGCCACAGUUAAGAACAAGUCUACUGAAUCCUAGUUGCUCUUGUUUAAGCCCAAAGCAGCGUGAAGUUUUCCAGCUUUUCAUUCAACCCAUAGCUAUUUCUCAAACCUACUGACAGUCUAGCCCAGUUCACUCAUGCUUUCCUUCCGCACAGAUGUUAAGAAUUCGUGUUCUGCUUAUCCAGACAAGUCUAAAAUCAUGAAUUACCAUCAGAAACGGACUAAAUCGUUAAUAACCUCUCUAAUACUGAGGAGCAAGGAGUCAGCCAGCUGACCAACACUGCUGUCUCCUCUGCUUGUCAGGUAGAAGGAGAGCAGCCAAAGCAUCGUCCUCGGAAUUCUGCCUGCUCUGUCUGGUUUUAAAUGUUUCAGCAGUUUCCAGUUAAAAGGUUCCUAUAAUCCAGUGACCCCUCCUAUUAAAUAAGUAUUUCAUAGCUUCCUGCCAGGUUUAACUACUUGGCUAUAGGUUAUUAUUCUGUGUACAGUACAUCAUCUCUGAGAUUAAUGAACAAUAUAUGUGACUGUGGCAGAGCUAGCUGUUGUAGAAGGGUUUCGUGUCUAAGAAAAUAUAUAGUCAUCAAUUUAACAUGAAGACUUUUAGCUGUUUACUAUUUUAAGUUGAAAUGCAAAGGUUAUUAUCAAACUUUGAGCCCCUAAAAAAAAAAUCAUGUUAUAAAUGCUUCUUAACACUAAAUGUGAACCUACCAGUUUCCAUUUCAUAAUGAAAAAAUAUUAAGCUUAAAUAUUUAUCAAUAAAUCUCAAAUCCCAGUUCCUACGG